rnacentral:rRNA from 1 species
AGUGAACGCUGGCGGUAGGCCUAACACAUGCAAGUCGAACGGCAGCACAGGAGAGCUUGCUCUCUGGGUGGCGAGUGGCGGACGGGUGAGGAAUACAUCGGAAUCUACUCUGUCGCGGGGGAUAACGUAGGGAAACUUACGCUAAUACCGCAUACGACCUACGGGUGAAAGCAGGGGAUCUUCGGACCUUGCGCGAUUGAAUGAGCCGAUGUCGGAUUAGCUAGCUGGCGGGGUAAAGGCCCACCAAGGCGACGAUCCGUAGCUGGUCUGAGAGGAUGAUCAGCCACACUGGAACUGAGACACGGUCCAGACUCCUACGGGAGGCAGCAGUGGGGAAUAUUUGACAAUGGGCGCAAGCCUGAUCCAGCCAUACCGCGUGGGUGAAGAAGGCCUUCGGGUUGUAAAGCCCUUUUGUUGGGAAAGAAAUCCAGCUGGCUAAUACCCGGUUGGGAUGACGGUACCCAAAGAAUAAGCACCGGCUAACUUCGUGCCAGCCGCCGCCGUAA